AUGCCAUUGACACAGGCUCAACUUAUAACAUAGUUGAAUGGAUGGUAUACAAGCAAAACCUCGGACCCCAUGGCGUUCAGGGAACGGGCCUUUGUCAACACAACUGGCGAGAUCCUAAAGGCCAACUUCAAGUGUGCCACAGCGAAACUCAACCAGAUCAUUUUCUACAUUUUGAAAAACUACGACCAGAGAAUGACCACUGAUGAUCAAAUGAUGCUUACCAGGUUACGACAGAUUUUGGAAGACUACAUGCCCCCCUCCGACCUUGACUCAUUCGCCAACAUACUAGUAGUUGUGAAGACUGCCCACGAUCGGUUGUUCCGCGAUAUGAUGGAUUUCAUCAGAUAUUUCCAGUUUGAAGGUUUACAGGACUUUUUUGAGCAACUGCGUUUUUUCUGACUCAAGCGGGCGAGGCAAAGUGAGCUGUUCCAUUUGACGAGAAAAGUAUGAUGCAGGAGAACGGCUUUGAUUCACUUGUCCUCCCCUAGUACCAUGUGGGCAUUUCACGGAGAAAUCGCCAAAAGUUUCAAAGAAAAGGUUUCCAUGAUGAAGCAUUUGGCUAAGGCAAAGGGCUGGUUGACGGGAUUCCUUGGGAAAUACACGACCUCUGCACCCCGUUACCGUUAUUAACGAAAUCCUCCAACUCUACAGUACCUACACCAAAAAGGCAGUGGAAGAGUUCACGCAGGUGGAGAUGCAAAUAUCCACAGGAUACAUGGAUCAAUUAGAGACGUUCUUAAGCAAGUUUCUCUCAACUAGCAAGAUCCAGUAUAUGAAAUCGAUCUUUGUAGAACUCAAAAAAUUCCCGGGCACAGAUGAUGGCGAAAGUGACAUGAGGAUGCCCCAUCUCCAUAAUUG